UACGGAGGGGGCGAGCGUUGUCCGAAGUUACUGGGCGUAAAGCGCGUGUAGGCGGGUUGCCAAGUCCGCUGUGAAAGCCCGAGGCUCAACCUCGGAGGGUCGGUGGAUACUGGCAGUCUUGAAGGUGCUAGGGGGAGAUGGAAUUACCGGUGUAGCGGUGAAAUGCGUAGAGAUCGGUAGGAACACCAGUGGCGAAGGCGGUCUCCUGGAGCAUUCUUGACGCUGAGACGCGAAAGCUGGGGGAGCGAACGGG
rnacentral:rRNA from 2 species